GGAGUCGUGGCAGAGUGGCCCAUUGCGAUCGGCGUAGGGAAGGCCCUUCUCACGUCGACUGACCGGGUACUGGGCCGCCCUGCCUCCCCCGGUCCGCGGGUUCGAAUCCCGCCGACUCUCA
rnacentral:tRNA from 1 species